GAAUAAUUAUUUUGGGCUCUGCAUAUUUCUGGAUAUUUACAUCUGAGCUCAUUUUUGUUUUGCAUGGAUUGCACGGAUUUGUGACAUAUGGAGAACCAAAUUUCAUGGAAGAAAAUGAGGUUUACGAAAGUUGUAAAUGGGGCAUUGAGCUUGUUGUAGGCUUGUCUAGGUACAUAUUUUAUUUUCUUAUUUCUAUUUAACUUAAUUUCUAUUAGUUCAUGUAAAUAUUUUUAUGUAUAUAGGUGCAUGCAGAAUUGAAUAGUUGAUAACUUAAAAUUUUUGUUUUAAUAAAAGGAAUAGUUAGCAAUUACAUUUUAAUAAAAACAAUAGUUUAGAAAAUAUUAUUUUUAAUAAAAGAAAGUUUUUUUUUUCUAUGAAAUUUCAAAAAAAUGUUUUUAGGAAAAUCCAGAAAAUUAUUUUUAAUAAAAUUCAAAAAAUUGUUUUUACCAACUAUUGUUUGGAAAUUUAUUUGUUUAAUAAAAUUUGUCUAAAAAAUUGUUUUGUAAAUAAAAAUUGUCCCAAAAAGUGAUUUUUAAAUAAAUUAUGUUUCCUUAGUUAGAAUUAGAAUGAGAUUAAAAGUAUUUUUUAUAAAUAGAGAUUUUAAAUAUUUUUUUUUUAUGAGAUUAGGAUGAGAGUCUUUUGCAAAUUGAAGUUGUAGAAAUCAUUUUUCUUGAUAAAGUUGGGUUGAAAAUAUUUUUGUAAAUAAAAUUUGUAAAGAAAUUAAUUCCUUUGUAAAUAAAAUCAAAUUAAAAUACUUUUGCAAAUAAAGUUUUAAAAUUUUAUUCUUUUUAUGGUAAAAGUAAAAUCUUUUUAUUGCAAAAUUGAAAAUUUUGUAAUAAAUUUUUUUUAUACUUUUUUUAAAAAUUGAACACAAAUAAAAUUGAAUUAAACCAUUUAUUGGAAAUGAAUUGAAACAUUUUUAUAAAUAAAUAAAUUCAAGCCAUUCAUUUGAAAUUGUUUUUAAUUUAAAAUAUUCUUUUUUUUAAUUAUAUUAAUAAAUCAAUUUGAUUAAUUAUCUUGUCAUUUACCUUGUAUACUAUUAUAAUUUACUUUUAUGAUUAUUUUUUUGUACAUUGAUUUGUAUUCUUAAUCUUGGUAUUCAUGAUUAAUUAAUUAUUAUAAUUCUCUCAAUUCACUUACUAAAAAUCGUAGGUAUACGAGCCAUAAUUAAUUAAUUAAUUAUCAUAAUUCCCUCAAUUCGCUUACUAGAAAUCAAAUAGGUAAGUAACCCUCAAAUUUUAGAUUUAGUUUUUGUAAAUAUGUCUUUUUCCAAAAAAUGAGUAGAGUUUUUUUUUCUCAUUUUGUUUUUCCUUUUAAAAAUAAAUUAAAAUAAGCAGCAACUUUAAUUUUUUUUUAAAAAAUCAAUUUUUCACAAAUAAAAAAAGAAUCUUUUGAAAAAAAAAAUAUGAUUUUGUUUUUAAAUAAUUUUAAAAUUUAAUUGAAAUUAUCUAUUCAAAAGAUAAUUUUCAAUUCAAUUCCUUAAUAAUGCAAUGGAUUUGCGAAUAGUUUCAAAAGUAUUAUAUUUUAAUAAAUAUUUUUAAAAUGCUUUUAUUUUUUUUUCAAAGCCCCUUGAAAAAAAGUUCCUUUUCAAAAGUGGCUGUUUGCCUUGAUUUUUGAUAAAUUAAAAGAAUCAUUUGUAAAAAAUUGAUAGUUUAAUUAUUGAUAAAAUUAUGACAUUUUGUAUCACAUAAGUUUAAAAAAAAAAGAAAAAAAAGGUCAUAUAGCUCUUUGUCUUAAAAUCAUGUUUUCAAGACACAAUUUUAAUAUAUCAUUAUGAAGUAAUGUAUUGAAAAUGGAUGAUAAUGAAACAAAUUAUUUAAGGUAUCCGCUCUACCUUACCCUUAAUGAAAUGAAUUUAAAAUUAAAAUAAAUAGGUUAAGAGUAGGUUUGAGAUUCGAGGCAUUACCUUAUCCCUCUAUUCCCUGAUUAUAUAUAGCUAAUUUUAAAAAAUAAUUUAAUUUAAUUUUUUAUGUUCCAAUUUUUAACACAAAUUAUUUUUCAAUAACACAAGCUAUAAAAAAAUUAUAAUAUUUUAUUUAUUUAUAAUAUAUAUUUUUAAUUAAAAAAAAGAAGAAGUUAAAAUUAAUUGUUUAAAAAAAUUGAAAAUUAAAAGAAAUUACACGGCGUGGAACCCGCCUCACCUUGUUUAAAUGUUUUUAUUAGAGUGGGAAUGAUAAUUACUUGGGACCCAACCCGUCCCAAAGCCUCGAAGACAUGAUUUCAUUACAUUAUUAAUAAAGUAUUAUGAAGUUGUGAUGAAGACAUAAUUUUAGUAUUUUAUCAAGAAGUUGUGUAUUAAAGACACCUUUUUAGUUUUUUU
rnacentral:lncRNA from 1 species